AGAUUUAGUUCUGAGUUCCGAGAUACAUUCAAGUGAAUAUAAUAUUAAAACAAAAGUUAAUAAUCAAACUUAUUAUUUUAAAAACAAGUUAUGUUGCCCUUCCUGAAUAUAGUGUCUAUAUCAAGGGUAAAAUCUAAUAUUCUGUACUUUGGGGCUAAAAGUUCGCGCGAGUACUUUCGAAAUAGGCCUAUUUAUUCAGUUUACAAGGAGAUCUAUACGGUCUAUUUCAAUAAAAUUACUAAUAUGCACCUAGUUAUUAUGAAACUAUUUAAAACAACAGUGUAGUAGUUAAAUCUAAUAAUGAGAGUGAUAACAAGGUAAUUUUGAGGACUUAGGUUUACUGGUUAGGUGGUUUACUGACUGCAUGGUUCACUAUACAUCACAAACAUUGAUUAAGCCUGGCUCCAAAAGGGCUGCAUGAUUGAGAUGGAGGACCUGGGUGGAUCAGUUUAACAGUGAAUGUCAAUGUAGAUGUUAUUGGAGUUGAUGAGUGGAGAUUUCUACCUCUUAUAACAGUGGAUAAAAACCAUACCGGGGAGAAAAAAAAAAGUGUGAAAGUGGAAGAAUACCCAGAUUGAGGAAUCACCAAGAGAAGUUUCAUAAAACAAGAUGCCAAAUGAAAAUAUUAGGACUUACCAAUGGAAUUGGCCUUUUCUCGGGAACACAAAAAUGGACACUUAAACAAAGAACCUAGAAAAAGUUGGGAUUUAACUACACCACUUGUAAUCCUGCACUAUUGCAGUACCUAUGGCAUUUAGUAUCCACAAACUAAAAUACCCAAAAGGUAAGCACGUUCUAAAAAAGUGGACGCAAGUAAGAGACUCGUACCGAAAAUCAAUUGCAAAAUCAGAAGCAGGGGUGUCAAAAUCAAAAUCCUACAUCUACGCAUCUAAGUUGCAGUUCUUAUCCAAAAUAAUUGAAGAAAGAGAAACUGAGGACACUCUUUCGUAAAAUGUGAUUGAUCCUUUUAAAGAUGUGGAUGAUUUGAAUGCUAGUGAUGAAAAUGACCUACAAUGAAUUCCAAGCGUACCAAGUGAUAAUCCAACAGGUCCAGUAGCUGAAAAACCUUAGUCAUCUUUUAAAAAACCUAUAGCAAAAAAGCGCAAAAUGGAUUCUUUCGAACUUGAAAUGCUUGCAACCCUAAAAGAACAAACAAACCGUCAUAUUUCAUUUUAAAAGGAUUACUCCCAUCUUUAAGUGUUUGUGAUGAAAUGGACACUUGAGGUGCUAAAAACCAUAAACAAAAUUAGGCAACGGAAGCAUUUUCUUCCUUCUACAUCUGCCUCACCAUUUCACCGUUGUCGUCUCCAUGUAUUCUCCACCAAUGAGCUUGGAAACGACAAUUCGAUUAUUUUGUAGUAAAAAAGAGCAGGCUCCAAAUUAAAUUUAGGAAUUUAUUUCAGUUCUCUAGCAUUUAUAGUUACUUCACAAUUAAUUUUCAAAGUUCGAAUAAAUAGGCCAUGUUUAAUUUUUUCCUUGUGCCAGCGCGGCCGGGAUGAUACGUCACAGGCGCCCAAGUGGACGCGACGACCUACGCUAGCAUGCCGACCGCGGACGCUGCUUUGUUAAUAUUAUUAUGCAUGUUUUUGCUGUUGUUUGUGUUUUUCAAAAUGUCUGCUCCACAUACCUGCUAUAAAUAUUGUAUUGUAUUUUAAUAAGUUCAUAUGUACAUAUGUUCUAUGUCGAAAAACGCCUUAGACAAGAAAAAUAGUUGGACCGGUAUUAGCCUAUAUUUACAAUGUUAACGAAGUGAGCCGAAUUUUUCUAGCAUUAUGGUGACACGCUUACUUGUUUUUGAGUGUAUUUUAGGAGAUUCUUGGGUUUUUUUAAGUAAAAUUUUUGGUUAAAUCUAUACUUUUUGGAUAUUACAUCAAAGUGGGAUGUUUAGUGUUUUGAUUCAAAUUUCGUAGGAAAAAGAAUUGCCAGAUGACAUUUUUUGCAGAUUUGGUGGCAAACAGCUCGUUUCAGGUGCGUGAUUACAGGUCCACUCAUUUUCCUUCUCUAAGAAAAAUGCUUAGUUUUUAAAAAACAGGGUGUCAAACUAAAAGUUUAUUUUGAAUUAUUUUUGAAUAGAAUUUAUCGUUUUAAAAUAUUAACGUUUAUAUAAUGGGUAAGUUGUCUGACUGACCACGAACAAAUCCCUGCUCCAUUGUAGUUAGUCAACAAGCAAAAUACGUCAAUAAUAAAAGUUAAAAGUCAAAAUGUCAACAAACAAAACCACCCUGUCAAAAUAACGCCUAGGCACUAGGCUGUGGCUGGCUGGCUAGCGAGCGCUCUAUAAUACACCGUCGCGUCGGCGUCUAUGACGUAGCGCGUAAUUGGGACGGAAUCUAGGGAGGUAUAAAAAACCCCAGACUAGCAGCCUUAUAACUGUGCAAAUACUGACCCUAACAACUUGAAAUAAACGUCAUUGUUCUUAUAAACUUAUGUUGUAUUUAUUUUUAGGAAAAUAUAUAUAUAUUUUUUUUAAUUUUCCAAGCCCAUUCUCCCCAAUCAAUUACAUGUAUCUGGUGCUCAAUAUUGCGAGGACUAUAUUUACAGUUUAUUGUGAUAAUGCGAGUUCAAAUUAUGUUCAUAAUGAAUUGUACACAAGUAAAACAACUAUAACAAUUUAUUUAAAUCGUUUCUUUAUUAAAAUCUAAUUAAAACUCGUUUUUCGUUUUAUUUUAUAAUAUUUUUUUUUAUUGUAAUAUCUUACCUCAAAGUAAUUGCCAACAUCUCAAUCGGUUGAAUACAUUCGCUCAUAAACGUAUUUCGAUUCGAAGUUGGUCUUGAAGCUUCACAUGUAAUGCAUCAAAUAAUUUUACCGACAUUCUAAAGUAGUUAAUAAAUUUUCCCUCGUGCUUUCUUAACUUUAAGGCAAAAUUAUGUAAAAGACUCCAAAUUCCAGCCGUCGUGUAAUAAGAGGAUGCUUCCAAUAAACUCUUUUAUUCCUUCUUCGUUUUGUUAAAUCUUCUAUAAAGAAGGAACAUUGCGAUCAAUUGUUUUUCACCUUUUUAGAACCGUAUAUAUAUGAAAGAUUUCAAUCGUUUUUUUAACGAUUCGAAAACGAACCCAACCGAACCAAAUGAAACCAUAUACAUGUGAAACGACCCUAACAGAAUAUUCAUUUUGUACGUCUUUUUAUAAAUUUUCUCUUUUAGAAAUUAAUAUUAUUUCUUCAUUGAUGUAAAUUCUGUUGUAUUAAGUGAGUACGGUAAUAACUUAUCGAUUAAAUAAUUGAUUUAUUGUUAUUGUAAUUUUUGUUUGGUUCUGAUCUAAUCAUCGUAUUAGUUGUGUAAGUUGAGAUAUAAAUUAAUUAAUUGAUUUAAAUAAAUAAUAAAGAAAUAAUG
rnacentral:lncRNA from 1 species